rnacentral:rRNA from 1 species
CGUGUAGGCGGUUUGGUAAGUCGGCUGUGAAAGACCCACGGCUCACCCGGGGGAACUCGGUCGAUACUGCCAGACUUGAGUGUGGGAGAGGAGAGUGGAAUUCCAGGUGUAGCGGUGAAAUGCGUAGAUAUCUGGAGGAACACCGGUGGCGAAGGCGGCUCUCUGGCCCGCAACUGACGCUGAGACGCGAAAGCGUGGGGAGCGAACG